AUAGGGUUAGUUAAAGAAUAAUAUCUGGUUGUCAACCAGUUGUCACCGUGUUUAAAUGGUACUCUAUU
rnacentral:tRNA from 1 species